rnacentral:rRNA from 2 species
GCUCAAUUUAAAAUCUGGUGGUCUUUGGCCAUCCGAGUUGUAAUCUAGAGAAGUGUUACCCGCGUCGGACCGUGUACAAGUCUCCUGGAAUGGAGCGUCAUAGAGGGUGAGAAUCCCGUCUUUGACACGGACUACCGAGGCUUUGUGGUGCGCUCUCAACGAGUCGAGUUGUUUGGGAAUGCAGCUCAAAAUGGGUGGUAAAUUCCAUCUAAAGCUAAAUAUUGGCGAGAGACCGAUAGCGAACAAGUACCGUGAGGGAAAGAUGAAAAGAACUUUGGAAAGAGAGUUAAACAGUACGUGAAAUUGCUAAAAGGGAAACGCUUGAAGUCAGUCGCGUUGGCCGGAAAUCAGCCUUGCUUUUGCUGGGUGUACUUUCUGGUUGACGGGCCAGCAUCAGUUUUGACCGGUGGAAAAAGUUCAAGGGAAUGUGGCAUCUUCGGAUGUGUUAUAGCCCUUGGUCGUAUACAUCGGUUGGGACUGAGGAACUCAGCACGCCGAAAGGCCGGGUCUUUGACCACGUUCGUGCUUAGGAUGCUGGCAUAAUGGCUUUAAUCGACCCGUCUUGAAACACGGACCAAGGAGUCUAACAUGCCUGCGAGUGUUUGGGUGGAAAACCCGGACGCGUAAUGAAAGUGAAAGUCGAGAUCCCUGUCAUGGGGAGCAUCGACGCCCGGACCAGAAGUUUUCUGACGGCCCUGCGGUAGAGCAUGUAUGUUGGGACCCGAAAGAUGGUGAACUAUGCCUGAAUAGGGUGAAGCCAGAGGAAACUCUGGUGGAGGCUCGUAGCGAUUCUGACGUGCAAAUCGAUCGUCAAAUUUGGGUAUAGGGGCGAAAGACUAAUCGAACCAUCUAGUAGCUG